rnacentral:rRNA from 1 species
AACGAACGCUGGCGGCAGGCUUAACACAUGCAAGUCGAGCGCCCCGCAAGGGGAGCGGCAGACGGGUGAGUAACGCGUGGGAAUCUACCGUGCCCUACGGAAUAACGCAUGGAAACGUGUGCUAAUACCGUAUACGCCCUACGGGGGAAAGAUUUAUCGGGGUAUGAUGAGCCCGCGUUGGAUCAGCUAGUUGGUGGGGUAAAGGCCUACCAAGGCGACGAUCCAUAGCUGGUCUGAGAGGAUGAUCAGCCACAUUGGGACUGAGACACGGCCCAAACUCCUACGGGAGGCAGCAGUGGGGAAUAUUGGACAAUGGGCGCAAGCCUGAUCCAGCCAUGCCGCGUGAGUGAUGAAGGUCUUAGGAUUGUAAAGCUCUUUCACCGGUGAAGAUAAUGACGGUAACCGGAGAAGAAGCCCCGGCUAACUUCGUGCCAGCAGCCGCCGCAG